rnacentral:lncRNA from 1 species
AUUGAAAGUUACAAUAUAUUUUAUAAUAUAGCAAUAUAUUUCAUAUUUAAAAUAAACUGUUAUGCUUUCUCCUAUCAUUAAAAAAUAGCAAGCAGUACAGAGGCAAGAUGCAAAUUCAUAUUGAAGCUCAUCUGAUCUGAAUAUAAACACAUCAAUCUCUGAGUUCGCCAUGAUGUUUCCUCCAUUAGCAUCCUGUUGACCUCGUUUGCUGUUCUCUUCUGGUCAGUGCAGAAUGGGAGAGUCUGGGACCGACCUUGAGUUGUUGCGCCAUUAAAAAGUGUCUGAUGAAGGUGGAUCAAUCCUGGUUGAGAUUCAGAAAGUGAGACAAUAUGACACAGCUAGAGAAUGUUGUUUAUCCCCUGUCCUUCUGUGAGCUUGGAUGUUGGCUGUUCCCAUCAGAUUGAUAUCUGAUUUGUCAAUAUAUAUAUGUGUGUGUAUAUAUAUAUGUAUAUAUAUAUAUAUUUUUUUUGGCUAUAAAUUCAGCAUCUCUUUGGGAUCCGAAACAGGUUGGUGUUGAAUUUUGUGCUUUUCCUCCAUCAGCUUGGUUGGUCACAACGUCUCUUUUGUUUGUUUCCACACAUGGUCCAGGCCCAAGAGUACAGCUUCCAGAACACGUUUUUCAGGUGUGUAAACAACUGUGGCAGGGCACUUGGCACCUAGAUUUGGAGGUCAUACGUUGAAGAUUUGAUAAUGGUUUUGUUCAGAGGGAACUCCAGUUCAUGUUUGGGCAUUUCCAGUAACGGUGUAAGAAAAAAAGAUCACAGUUAUUUUUUUUUCUCUAUCUGUAUAUAUUUAUAUACCAUUGCACUGAGUAUGUUUUUAAUAAGCUUCAGUCUAUUUUAGUAAAAAUCUAUAUAUUACUUGUCUGACAAGAGUCUAGUGUUAAUUUCUAUUCAUGCAGCCUGGCACAAGCUUUCAGGAUGAAGAGAACUCGUCUAUAUUCUACUACCAGAGGCGGACAGUUAAUAUUGCUCUCCCUGUAAGGUUCCUUUCUUAGUGGUAUCAAAGAUCCUGCUCCCAUGUUUACUUUGGUGGCAAUAGAGAAGGAAGGGAUGUGGUCCAGGGCGUCUUUAAACCGUCUGACUGCAGAGGAGGGGAGGGAAGGGGCUGUGCCCGCCUACCAGGAAACAGCCAGGUAGCUGUCUAAGGUACUGAAACUGAAUGCUGCAGUGUCAAUAGGGACAGCACGACGACCACUGACGGAGCCUUCGUCCACUUCUAAGCAACAUUCAGGGAAGUAGGAUGACAGUGUAGAACUGGGGACAUAUUUUAGGGUUUAAAAGUAACGACUUUUUAAAAAUAACAGUAACCUACUGGUAGUGCAAUGACUCCACAGUGUCUCAGUUGUGGUACUAUGAUGGUAGCAACACUGUUUGUUCUGGGAUGAAACACUGAUUUGUAAUUUGGGGUGCAUGGCUUGUUGAGGUACACUCCGAAGGAGGAGAGAGGUCCUGGGACUAUGGGCUAAUCCCAUACUUCUUCCUGCUAAAUCCACUACCUGGUUGCUACGUAAUAAUUACUUUUUGGUAGCUAUUGACGACAUUCAGAGGCAACAUCAAAGUGUAGAGUAGACAGAAUUGGUCUGGGUUGCUAUGGACAAUAGUGAUUCCAUUUUAGAAUCUAUUGAAUACUUUGUACUCAAGAAUAUUAACUAUUAUCUUUAAGUACAGAGAAAUUGAGGUAUGAGGUGGUUAUAUUCACUGGCCAAAGAUAUUUUUAUUUGGACUUCAAUCUAAGGAGGAGGGAGCCCCUCGACUGGUGUAAUUUACCAACUGAUGCUAUGUCCUGAAAUUCCGCUGAGAUCAGUGGGACUUAAAAUAUCACAGUACAUCCCUUACUUUACAGUACAUGGAGCUAGAAUAUGGCUUAAGCGAUGAGGGGGUGGCUCUGUAUUUUCAGUUCAAGUGUCUAGAUAUUUUAGGGAAUAUUAGAGUAUUUUUACCUGACACUGAGUUAUCAGAAGGGUUAUAGUAGGGGCUCUGCUAUACUGGGUCAGCCUUCCAGGAAGGGGCAGACUUCAAUCAGUUCAGUACUGGAGUGAGGUUAUUGUAAUUCAUAGUUUUCCCACAUGGCCAAUUUUUGAGUAGAUCAUUAAACCUCCUCCACAACCAAACCUGAAACACGGAACAAGACAGCAUGACGUGAGAAUCCAUCUACCCCCUUUCCUCAUCUGAUGGUGAUACUGAGGUGCAGUGGAAUUAGCCAAAAGACAGGCUGUAGGAAGGAAGCCUGGGUGAGCUACACCCUGGAUAAUCAAUACCUAAGUCAUCAACAGUUGAUUGUACUUGCAGAAGAAUGGGUAACUUCCCCACAGAAAGCUGAAAUACCAUUAUAGAGAAGCAGCCUCCCAUUUAUCAUGGCAGGAUCAACAUGCAGAUUCGAUCACAUUUUUUUUUUCUUGGAAGAGUAAAUACUCUUUCACCAAGGAUAAAAACCAUACGUAGCUAUUGCACUACCAGUAGGUCCAGUCAAGCUACAAAUGCCCAUGUGUUUCUAGGACGCCAGGGGUGACUCCAGCCCCUUGUUUUGCUAGUGUUGCUAGCUUGGUCAUCAGCAUUUAAUGCUGUAAGAGUACAGCAUUAGUGGUGGGUUAAAGAAGAGUCACUCACAGAUAGCAAUGGGUCAAUGACAGUCUGCACACACUUUUUGGCAGGAGGAAUGGCAGUGGAAUCUCGUAUGUCAUUUGUUUGCAACUCAGGUGAAAUCCCUAUAUAUGUGUACAUGCACACACACGCACACACACAUGUCACAGGGUUACAGUGGGAUGGGAAAGGCAAGUAGGAAUUAAGAAUUGAGGGCUGGAGGUUAGAGGAUCGGGGUUGGCAUGCUCGGGUUGACCCGCCAGUUUGCUUCGCACGUGAAAUGAACUAAUGCCACAAAGAAACUGCAUGGCGAUUUCAUCUGCUUAUCCAUCUGUUUGUAUGUUCGGCUGUCACUGAAACCAGGAGUGCCAUUCUUGGACAUAAAAAAGAAGAGGGACCUUUUCGAUAAUCAAUAGGUAAAAGAACAAGCCAAAAAAAAAAAAAAAAAAAAAAA